rnacentral:rRNA from 1 species
AGAGUUUGAUCCUGGCUCAGAAUCAACGCUGGCGGCGUGCCUAACACAUGCAAGUCGAACGAGAAAGGGACUUCGGUCCUGAGUAAAGUGGCGCACGGGUGAGUAACACGUGACUAACCUACCCUGGAGUGGGGGAUAACUGAGGGAAACCUUAGCUAAUACCGCAUAACACCUACGGGUCAAAGGAGCAAUUCGCUUCAGGAGGGGGUCGCGGCAGAUUAGUUAGUUGGCGGGGUAAUGGCCCACCAAGACAGUGAUCUGUAUCCGGCCUGAGAGGGCGCACGGACACACUGGAACUGAAACACGGUCCAGACUCCUACGGGAGGCAGCAGUGGGGAAUUUUGCGCAAUGGGGGAAACCCUGACGCAGCAACGCCGCGUGGAGGAUGAAGUCCUUCGGGACGUAAACUCCUUUCGAUCGGGACGAUAAUGACGGUACCGAGAGAAGAAGCCCCGGCUAACUUCGUGCCAGCAGCCGCGGUAAUACGAGGGGGGCGAGCGUUGUUCGGAAUUAUUGGGCGUAAAGGGUGCGUAGGCGGUUUGGUAAGUCUGAUGUGAAAUCUAUGGGCUCAACUCAUAGUCUGCAUCGGAAACUGCCGGGCUUGAGUAUGGGAGAGGCGAGUGGAAUUCCUGGUGUAGCGGUGAAAUGCGUAGAUAUCAGGAGGAACACCUGUGGCGAAAGCGGCUCACUGGACCAUAACUGACGCUGAUGCACGAAAGCUAGGGGAGCAAACAGGAUUAGAUACCCCAGUAGUCC